rnacentral:lncRNA from 1 species
CAGGAACAUUCCUGAAUGUUGCCCCCAGGCCUGACUUUUUUUUUAGGUUUCCCUCUCUUCCUGCCUUUGGGCUAGGGGGACAAGGAAUAACAGGGUGAGAGGACCAAGUUGAAACUAAGUGUGAUACUCUGGAAGCAUCUUCCAUGUCUGUCCCAGCUUCUCACCCACUUUCUGAGAUGCCCUCCUAAAGUCUCUGCCUGUUUCUUGGAGGGAACCUCUGCAUCUGUGACACCUACUCUAUGACCCCUGGGGACUGACAGUAAAGGAAG